ACGGGGGGUGCGAGCGUUGCUCGGAAUCACUGGGCGUAAAGCGUACGCAGGCGGACCGUUAAGUCGGGUGUGAAAGCCCGGGGCUCAACCCCGGAACUGCAUUCGAAACUGGCGGUCUCGAGUACGGGAGAGGGAGGUGGAAUUCCUGGUGUAGAGGUGAAAUUCGUAGAUAUCAGGAGGAACACCGGUGGCGAAAGCGGCCUCCUGGCCCGAUACUGACGCUCAUGUACGAGAGCGUGGGGAGCAAACAGGA
rnacentral:rRNA from 1 species